CCUACGGGGCGCAGCAGUGGGGGAUAUUGCACAAUGGGGGAAACCCUGAUGCAGCGACGCCGCGUGGGUGAAGAAGCGCCUCGGCGCGUAAAGCCCUGUCAGCAGGGAAGAAAAUGACGGUACCUGAAGAAGAAGCCCCGGCUAACUACGUGCCAGCAGCCGCGGUAAUACGUAGGGGGCAAGCGUUAUCCGGAUUUACUGGGGGUAAAGGGGGCGCAGGCGGCGAUGCAAGCCAGGAGUGAAAGCCCGGGGCCCAACCCCGGGACUGCUCUUGGAACUGCUUGGCUAGAGUGCAGGAGGGGCAGGCGGAAUUCCUGGUGUAGCGGUGAAAUGCGUAGAUAUCAGGAGGAACACCGGUGGCGAAGGCGGCCUGCUGGACUGCAACUGACGUUGAGGCCCGAAAGCGUGGGGAGCAAACAGGAUUAGAUACCCCUGUAGUC
rnacentral:rRNA from 1 species